rnacentral:rRNA from 1 species
AACGAACGCUGGCGGCGUGCCUAACACAUGCAAGUCGAACGGGGAUGGGGAGCUUGCUUCCUAUUCUAGUGGCGCACGGGUGAGUAACGCGUAGAUAAUCUGCCUGAUGAUCUGGGAUAACACUUCGAAAGAGGUGCUAAUACCGGAUAAGCCCACGGGGUCUUUGGAUCUUGCGGGAAAAGGGGGGGACCAUUUGGCCUUCUGUCAUCAGAUGAGUCUGCGUACCAUUAGCUAGUUGGUAGGGUAAAGGCCUACCAAGGCGACGAUGGUUAGCGGGUCUGAGAGGAUGAUCAGCCAAACUGGAACUGAGACACGGUCCAGACUCCUACGGGAGGCAGCAGUGGGGAAUUUUGCGCAAUGGGCGAAAGCCUGACGCAGCAACGCCGCGUGAGUGAUGAAGGCUUUCGGGUCGUAAAGCUCUGUCGAGGGGAAAGAAGUGUACGGAGGUUAAUACCCUUUGUACUUGACGGUACCCCUAAAGGAAGCACCGGCUAACUCCGUGCCAGCAGCCGCCGUAACAC